CCCAGGAUCACAACUUGAGCCGAAAUCGAGAGUGGGAUGCUCAACCGACUGAACCACCCAGACAAGAAGAGAGAUCUCUUAUUUCUCAUUGGAGGGAGAUACAAAAGAAGGUUGCUGGCAGAUAGAGAGCCAAUUCUUAAUCACUGAGAGGAGAGGCUAGCUGAAGACCUAACAUCCUAAGGAAGGCUCUCCAGAUGAGGUCUGGAGUCUGAUGGAGCCCCUAAAAGGAUACUGUCCCUAAAAACUGGUAGCAGAGAGAGAAGUGUGGAAGAAGGAAAAUAAGACGAAAAUACCUUCUUCGAAGUUA